rnacentral:rRNA from 1 species
UGAACCACAUUCGGUGGGGAUUAGUGGCGAACGGGUGAGUAACACGUGGGCAAUCUGCCCUGCACUCUGGGACAAGCCCUGGAAACGGGGUCUAAUACCGGAUAUUGACCUUCACGGGCAUCUGUGAGGUUCGAAAGCUCCGGCGGUGCAGGAUGAGCCCGCGGCCUAUCAGCUUGUUGGUGAGGUAAUGGCUCACCAAGGCGACGACGGGUAGCCGGCCUGAGAGGGCGACCGGCCACACUGGGACUGAGACACGGCCCAGACUCCUACGGGAGGCAGCAGUGGGGAAUAUUGCACAAUGGGCGAAAGCCUGAUGCAGCGACGCCGCGUGAGGGAUGACGGCCUUCGGGUUGUAAACCUCUUUCAGCAGGGAAGAAGCGAAAGUGACGGUACCUGCAGAAGAAGCGCCGGCUAACUACGUGCCAGCAGCCGCGGUAAUACGUAGGGCGCAAGCGUUGUCCGGAAUUAUUGGGCGUAAAGAGCUCGUAGGCGGCUUGUCACGUCGGUUGUGAAAGCCCGGGGCUUAACCCCGGGUCUGCAGUCGAUACGG